rnacentral:rRNA from 1 species
GUGAGGAAUUUUGCGCAAUGGGCGGAAGCCUGACGCAGCAACGCCGCGUGAGUGAAGAAGGCCCUCGGGUCGUAAAACUCUGUCGGGCGGGAAGAAACUGUGCGGCAGCAACACGGCCGUGCACUGACGGUACCGCCGAAGGAAGCACCGGCUAACUCCGUGCCAGCAGCCGCGGUAAUACGGAGGGUGCGAGCGUUAUUCGGAAUUAUUGGGCGUAAAGGGCGCGCAGGCGGUCCUGCAAGUCGGAUGUGAAAGCCCGGGGCUUAACCCCGGAAGUGCAUUUGAUACUGCGGGACUUGAGUAUGGGAGAGGAAAGCGGAAUUCCUGGUGUAGCGGUGAAAUGCGUAGAUAUCAGGAGGAACACCGGUGGCGAAGGCGGCUUUCUGGACCAAUACUGACGCUGAGGUGCGAAGGCGUGGGGAGCAAACAGGAUUAGAUACCCCUGUAGUCC